rnacentral:lncRNA from 1 species
CGAAGAGUCACACCCAACUCAAAAAGAAAAAAGAAGUUGAAAUGCAAUAAAGUCGGUAGAGUCCAGGAAUGUUAAAACACAAACAUGAUGGAAUUAGUCCUUUCUCUUCUCUCCCCUUCCACAGACAAACUCAACCCAGACGUGUAGAGUACCUUCCGAAGGCGUGACCCAGCGGAUACAGGAUGACUCAUCGGGAGUAAGAGGUGUUAUCCCAAGGACCAGAGCAAUGACAGUGGAGAAAUGAGGCCCCAGGAAAACCCAGACUGAAAGCUUGGCUUGCACCAAGAAUAGACAGCUCUCCCAUUCGGUGGGAAAGGUUUUCAGGGCCUCAACACUUCAAGUCAGGCUUUCUGUGAACUUCCUUAAGCUAAUUUCUUAGUGCUUUUAGACAAGGGAACAUGACCUAGGAUCCAGGCCGCAAGGAAAGUGGAAAUGUCAACAGCACAGAGUGCCAUGAAUAAUGAGGAUGGAAGUCAGCCAUACACACCCGUGAAUCACACAGCCCGGGAUUCAACCAAUCACGUGUGUGGGGGGGUCAUCUGUGAUGAGCAGUGUACUUCUUUUCUCCAUCAACCUCUUCACGUAUUUUUCUCCUCCUGCUUUCCCUCCACAUCUCUUCUCCUUCCCGUACCCGACAUUCGGGGAGCUGGACCUCUGAAGAGCGUUAUCCUUCAGAACCUCCGGGAAAGCAGAAGGCUAUGAGGACAG